rnacentral:tRNA from 2 species
GCCAACGUAGCUCAGUGGUAGAGCAACCGUUUCAUAAGCGGUAGGUUCGGAGGUUCGAUCCCUCCCGUUGGCA